UACCAGCUCUCCGAGUGGUAGGGAUGAUUAUUUGGCCUAAAGCGUCCGUAGCCGGCCGGGUAAGUCUCCCGUUAAAUCCAGCGUCUCAAGCGUUGGACUGCGGGAGAUACUGUCUGGCUAGAGAGUGGGAAAGGCGUACGGUAUUCUGGGGGUAGGGGCGAAAUCCUUUGAUCCCCGGAGGACCACCAGUGGCGAAGGCUGUACACUAGAACACGUCUGACGGUCAGGGACGAAAGCUGGGGUAGCGAACCGGAUUAGAUACCCGGGUAGUCCCAGCCGUAAACGAUGCACGCUAGGUGUUGGGGCGGCCACGAGCCGCCCCAGUGCCGCAGGGAAGCCGUUAAGCGUGCCGCCUGGGGAGUACGGCCGCAAGGCUGAAACUUAAAGGAAUUGGCGGGGAGCACCACCAGGCGUGAAGCCUGCGGUUU
rnacentral:rRNA from 1 species